GCUUGCAGUUUGCAAGUCGGUUAAUUGGAGUUAAUUGAAGCAGCCGAGCACUUGUUAGUUGUGAUUUGAACGACCUGGUGGAACAAACUUAUGACAACGAAUCGAAAAUUGUAUUCAAUAUGGUCCAUUGUCAGGAGAAAACAUGUUUUAGAAGGCUAAUCAUGGUUUAUUUUAUCGUUAUCAGAUGUCUGCAGUUUUGCCAUAUUUGUUUCUAGAGACGUGGAAAAGGAUUUAUUUCCAGGAUGUUUUUCUAAUGACAUCUGAUAUUUAAUGACGUUUCUAGUUUCAUCUGUUUCGCCAAGUAGUUCAAUACAAAAGUCCAUAUCAGUUCUAUGUUUUGGAACAUCUGCCACAGCUGAAGAAUAGACAUGGUAGUCAAGUAUGCAUUAAAAAGGGAAAACUGGUGAAUGUGAAAAGAAUAUUAACCGUUGCAUCCCAAAUAAUCAAGGAACAUUUAGAAAUCACAAAUUACUAUCUGGCGUGGGGAUUUGCUGGAUCAUAUAUUUAAGAAACUGGCAAGCAUAAAUGGCAUGAAUAGGCUAUUGUGAUCAUGUAUCAAGUUUUAUGCAGGAGAAACAGGCUCGAGUACAGCAGAUAUAUAUGUGAACCAUUUUGUCUAGGGUGAUGAAAAUAUCUUAUUGCAACAGUAAGUCCUUGUUCUGAAAAAAAAAUAUUGAUGGUAGAGUGAGAAAUUUGGAUGUGGUUGAUUCAGAGGCAGCUUUGUCAUCUUCAUCAAGUUUUCCAUCUGAAGAUCAAGAAAAAAACAGGUUUGAAGACCUGAAGUGGUGUAAAGUAGGACCCUCGGACCUAUCACUUGGAUCAUUUGGACCAUCAUGGAAGACAAUGCCACCAUUGUAAAAUGACCACCAUGUGCCUCUGCCAGCAGCCAUAAAAUCAGCAAUUCUCUCGAGGUGACACUGGAAUAAUGUUGGCCUCGUCUUCAAGAACUGAGCUGUAAAUACAGACCUUGGAUGCUGUUUUAAUAGCCUUGCUUGCUUGCUGAUGAAUGAGUCUUGCAUAUGAAAGGAGUUCUGUUUAUGUCCUUCCUUUUAUUGGUAAUUGAACCUAACAAUACAAUUUUCAGCAAUAUUUCCUGGUUGCCUGUUAGUGGUGUUUCUUGAGAUUCUUCUGAGGUCACCGAAACAUCUCUCCUGUUCCUCUGUAAGGAUUGACCUCAAAGAAAAUAUUCUAAAUGCUUCGGCAAGAUGUAUAGUUAUACUAUGGAAGUGGCUCCCAAAAAACUUCCUUGCAGUCAUUUUUACUGGACUGCAAAAAAUGGUUCUACAUGUUGCAGCAAAUAACAUUGUCUGGUUAUAGAGACGAAGUAUCAAUUUUGGUGUUCUCCCUUCGCUAGACAGGUCAUGGAGUGGUUCAAAGCAGGGUAUUUCAUAAUUUUUUAUGUUGAGAUCAUGAGACGUCAUUUUUGGAUUUGGCAGCAUCAAGGCAGGUGGUUUUCCAAUACCAUGCAUUACAGAAUUAAGUAUAUCUUGAAGAUCACCUUUCAAGGAGCAGGGUUAUGGAAGAUAAAGCCAAUCUACAUCUGUCGUCCAAGUCUAGUACCUUUGCAUUAAAACAGUGCAUCAAGUUUGUGAACUCGUCGGCUUUCACACCACACAUGCAGGGAUAGUGUCCUCCAUGUUGUUGGCCGCUUUCGAAUUGCCUAGCAGGCCCAUCUCCACUAAAUAGUCUUAGACAGUCGUAAACCUCAAUGUUUUCAUGAUGUAUUGGGGAAGUAAUAUUUCUCAGAUCAUCAACUCUAUUUUUCAGAUUUAAAGGAUUGCAAAAUCAUCUCAUAGGCUAGCAGAUAAUCAUGGCAUUCAUUGACAUAAUAAUUACAUCUUAAUUAUGGUGGAUCUGAUUUGUUUUUUAAUUGUACAUGCCAGUUGUAAGAAUACAGAACUUUAGUUGAGUAUAAUUGUUAAUUUUUAUGCCCCCCGCCAUAGCGGAGGGGGCAUUAAGUUUAACCCUUGUCUGUACGUCAUACGUCCGUACGUCCCAAAAUUGGUUUCCGUUCUCUAACUUGAGUUUGCCUCAACCAAAUGUUAUGAAACUAAUACACAGUGCUAAUAACCACAAAACGCAGAUCAAGUUUGAAUUUUUGUGGCGUCACUUUAACCGUUCUAGAGUUAUGUCCCUUUACAAAUGGAAAAAUUGCAAAAUUUUUAGUUUCCGUUCUCUAACUUAAGUUUGCCUCAACCAAAUGUUAUGAAACUUAUACACAAUGCUUAUUACCACCAAAUACAGAUCAAGUUUGAAUUUUGGUGUUGUCACUUUAACCGUUCUAGAGUUAUGCCCCUUUAUAAAUGGAAAAAUUGCAAAGUUUCCGUUCUCUUAAGUUGCCUCAACCAAAUGUUAUGAAACUUAUACACAAUGCUUAUUACCACAAAACACAGAUCAAGUUUGAAUUUUGGUGUCGUCACUUUGACCGUUCUAGAGUUAUGCCCCUUUAUAAAUUGAAAAAUUGCAAAAUUUUUAGUUUCCGUUCUCUAACUUAAUUUAUUUGUAUCUUGAGAUUUUCAAGAAGUAUUAUAAUUUUUUGUUUUGUUGAGUUUUGUAAGAAUCAUGAUUUUUUUCAUUGUUGAAGAUGUAUUUUUAUAUAAACAAUUAUGAUUUAUUUUGUACUGGUAGAUUUAUGCAGGAUACCAUUCCUUAUUUUCUGUCUUUUAUUUCAUGUGUGUUUCUUGGAGAGUGAGGAUGAUUUUAUAGAGUUUCAGAAAUAACGUGUGAUAAAGUGGAUACAGCAGAUUGAUCAAGUACAAGUUAAUAUCAGAAUCGGUUCAUUAAUCCUUUGGAACCUUGUUGUAAGUUCAUGAUUGGACAUGGUGCAAUAUUCCUCAUCAGUGAAAUGACGAAGAAUGCCAAGCUGGAUUUGUUCCUGAAGGACAGACAUGCGUAUCUUGUCAAGCGAUAUUUUUCGACUGUAGAUGACCUGUUUUUCUUCAGUUAAUGUACCAGAAUUUGUAAUAUUAGUUUUGAUGAUGGUUUUAGGAUCUAUAGGUUCUCCGAUAUCAAUUUCUCCAGAUUUUUUUUGGUUGUCAAUAUCGCUCUUUAAUUUUUUGGCAGAUCUUACAGCUGGUACUGAAACUUUUAAUUUUUUGUAAAUAAUCGAUUUCCUUGCCCUUCUUAUACGCCUGGUGUAUUCAUUACUUGCUAUAUGUGAGUUUGUUUUAAAUUUUGAGAUAUUGAUCCCUAUGUUAAGUGUGUACGCCUUCAAAACCUGGCCUGCAUUUUGAGGAACUUUGCCAUUGAUUUUUAAAUUAUACCUUCUGGCUAGCAAGGACCAGUUAACAUAGCUGCCUUCAGACUUUUCCUUUAUUUCAUUUAUGAAACUUCUUUUGUCGAAUUCGUAGUUCGAAAAAUUACCAUGAUGUUUUUUUGGCAUUUUUCCAUGUUGUUCUUUCUGUAGUUGAGUUAAUACUCUCUCUCUUGCAUCUGUUUUAUUUUCAAAGCUAGUGGCCAUGCGAUCCCUGGUAUGCUGGUUAAAUGACUUUCCCGACGAAAGAAAAGAAGAAACGUCCUCUCCAGGUGAUGAUAGGGAAACUUCUAAUGAGUUCCUGGUUUCUUUUAAAAUUUUUUUCAAAUUCUUUUUUUUUUUCUUGAGGUGAUUUUAUUGGUGAAAGAGACACCUUGACCUGGUUUUGAAACUUCAUUUUAAGUUUGUCCUCGACAAUUGGCUGGAUAAUUUUUACCAAGUUCUGGACAGUUUUUAGACCUCUAGUUGUUUUUGAAUGGCUUUGCGGAGAUGUUAUUGAUAGUACUGAAUCUGUUGCAGCAUUGCACAAAGUGUGUAGAUUGUUUGCAUCACUGGAUGAUGACAAAUGUAGUGAUGAAUAUAUAAUAUGUGUGGUGUUGCAUCUUUUGCAGUCUUCUAAUGUAUGUUCCCUUUUUUCUUCAUUGGACAGCUUUUCCCAAUUCUUUAGUGAAAAAUAGUCUACAAAUUUGUUUUGUUGUCCAUCCUUAUUAUUAUUUCGCCAGUAUUUUUUAUCGGUGACAUAUUUCUGGAGUCUUUUGAGCUUAAUGCCAAAGUCUUUGAAAUCUAUUUUCAUUUUUGGAUAUUUUGACAUGAAGUUUUGAUAGUUCUUGUAUCUUUCCAUGAUACUAAGAUGGUUAGUGUAUCUUGGAGCAUGUUUGUUCUCUUUAUUUUCUCUAUGAGCUUCUAUUGUAGACAGGUCUUUAGUUGCCCUUGUUAUAAUUGUUUUCACAAAAUUGCAGAUGUUCAUUUUUUAUUUACAAUCUAAAAAAUUAUCUUGAGAUUAAAAUAUGUAUACUUGAGGCUAAUAACCUAUAACUUAAAUUGUUAAUGGCUGUGCUUUCUCUGAUGAAAAAAAUAUUGUGAAACUUAAAAGACUAAAAUCAAAGAGUUGCCAUGUGGCUUUAUAUUAAUUUUUUAAACAAAUUAACACACAAAAAUCAGAGAAAUCACUUUCAUCAUUUUGAUAAUUUAUAUAUAAGUGAUUUAAGGUAGAUAGGGUGUCUUCCUCCAUCUUGGAUUUUGAAAUACCAUAAAACAAUCGGUCUAGAUCAUUAAGAAAAUGUGCAAAUUUUGAGUGUAGUAGGUAAUUCAUGUGUAAGAAUUUUCAUUUCAAUACAGAAAAUGACAUGUUUUAUCAUAUUUAUGGUUGUAUUUUACAAAAAACAGGAAACUUUUGUUUUAUUUAAUUUUUUCCAACUUUGCCACAUAAGGGGAGGCAACUCAAAUGUAAGGGCAGAUAAUUCAGAUAAAGGUAUUUUUACAAUAGAAUGUGUAAGGAAUUUACCUAUUUGAUUAUGUAGCAAGAAAACGGGUCCGGUGACCCCAUUUUUUCUUUUUCUUAUCUGAAAGCAUAAUAUUUGAGCUAUCUUCUCAUAUUUUAUCUCAAAAUUCUAUGGUGUAGUUUUGGUUUUAUGGCAGAAAAUUGGGUUUUCCAUGCAUAAUCUAUACAAAAUCUGUCAAUUUUGCACAACCUGUAGCGUGAAAAUAAGCCCCGUGACCCAUUCUUUUUAUUAUCUUUUUUAAAAAUACAUGAUAUAAACUAAAUUUUGGCAAAUUAUUAAAAAAUUCUAUGGAUUGUAAUUUAGACACCCCAUCUACCUUAAUCCAUAAUUAACAUGUGUUUGUGUGUUGAAACUGAUCACAUAUCCUCUUCAAUCUUAUCACAUACAAUAUGACCUGUUGUAUCUGAAGCAUUUGCCAAUGUAAAACAGUGGUUUUAUUGUCAAAACGUGGUUUUACUUGGUCCCCAAUAGCAGAGCUAUUCAAAUUUAGGUAGUAAAGUUUUUGUGGGAAUAACAUUUUGUUUUUCUGGUUAUCUCCAUUCUUAUAGCUGUUCAAAAUUUUGUUUGGGAUAAUUGAAGGCUCUCAAUUAUUAAUAUGGUAAAUGUAUGUGGGUGGUUGCAUUUUCUUCAAAAUCUUUAAAAAUGACAUUCUGAAUUAAAAUUUGUAAAUUAUUGAUGGUUAGGUUGCAAAAGAAGGGCCUCCCAUAAUCCAAACAGCCAAUUUUGGAAACUGCUCUAGUGUUCUUGGUUAAAAAGAAACUUGUCAUUUUGGCUUACAAUUGCCUUAACUUCAAAAAUUCCUGCCUCUGACAAGUGUCGGAUAACAUAUGUAAAGAUCAAAACAUGUUGUGCACUUCAGAAUGAUUGAAAUAAUGAAAAAAAGAUAGUUUUAAAGUUAAAAUUGCAUAUUCUUUGAAACUCACACAAACACAUGUUUAUCAAUUUACAGCUCUUUCCAUAAUGCUAGCAAGACCAAGGUUUGUUUGGCUUGCUAGCUUUGUUGUAUCAAUGUUUGCCAAAGCAUUGUAAUUAAGAUAUGUAAGAUUGACAUCUGGAAACAACAUAAAAAGGAGGAUUUUAACUUGUAGUUGUAUACAUUAUAUUUAAAUUUGGUUGGACAUUAUCAAAUAAUCAAUAUUACCUAUACACCGGUUUAACUCCGCCUACUUAUAUUAAAUAAAGAAAGCAAGGCAACCAAACCUUUGUUUUGCUAGCAUUUUGAAAAGAGCUGUAAAAACAAUAUUGUAUAAAUUAAGUAUGUUAUUGUGAAUAUAAUUAUUUCUAAAAUAUAGCCCGUUUUUGGGACAUUUAUGGUAUACCUCUGUCCGUCCCUCCGUCAAUUCACCAUUGUUGUCUUAAGUGGAGCGAGGCAAGAUGAAUGCAUGUUAAAAGCAAUGUAUCAAAAAAUUCAAAGAAAGUUCAUUAUUCCUAUUAAAAAUAAAAUCUUAAAUUAAUUAAAAACGAAAGGGAGCUCAUGUCAAUAGAUGUAAACAAUUCACCAAAGUUUUAUGCAAAUUGGUUUAUGAGUUAAUGUCCGUCAAUUCUUUGAAUUUUUUGAUACUUUGCUUUUAACAUGCAUUCAUCUUGCCUCGCUCCACUUAAGACAACAAUGGUGAAUUGACGACACAUUACAGCAAUUUAUGGACGAGGCUUAGAUAUGGGGAAAUGUAUAAGAAUUGGUGUGUAGCAAAUGAAAUACAAUACAAUUCAUUGUUGUUAUAUUAUUCUCUUUUUGGAAAAUAUAUUCUAUAAUCAAUUAUGAAUUUCCUUGAUGCAGAUUAUCUAUAGAAUGUAAACUUUAGGAAAUAUUUUGUUUUCUUUUUUGCAUUUCAUCAUAUUUUUACUUAUUUAUUUGAGAGUCAACAUUUUUAUUUUCUAACAAGUUAAUUAGUCUUUAUAGUAUAAUGGUUGGACUUUCUUGAUAAUAGAAAGAAGAAAAAAAUUCUUUCUCUGAUGAUGAUUUAAAUGACAAACUUGACUUGGUUUUUGUCUCGCCUCGAAUGAAUCAAAAAGCAAGACAUAGGUAUGCUGUUUCUGGCAUCGGCGUCAACUAUGUAGAUCUCAUAAACAUGUUUUAACCCCGCCGCAUUUUUGCGCCUGUCCCAAGUCAGGAGCCUCUAGCCUUUGUUAGUCUUGUAUUAUUUUUAAUUUUAGUUUCUUGUGUACAAUUUGGAGUUUAGUAUGGCGUUCAUUAUCACUGAACUAGUAUAUAUAUUUGUUUAGGGGCCAGCUGAAGGACGCCUCCGGGUGCGGGAAUGUCUCACUGCAUUGAAGACCUGUUGGUGACCUUCUGCUGUUGUGUUCUAUGGUCGGGUUGUUGUCUCUUUGACACAUUCCCCAUUUCCAUUCUCAAUUUUAUUAGUUUGUGAUUAGGGCUAGUUUAUGGUGAAACUAGUGGUAGGUCAAUGAUAUUUGGUAUGCAGUUGUAUUAACAUUGGCACAUCUCAUUACCAUGGAGAUUAUUUGGCCCACCCCAUCAGUCAUGGUCUAUUGACUUUGAAACUUUUUGCUGAAUAGUUUACAUGUAUUAGUUUGUGAUUAGGUCAUUUUAUGGUGAACCACUGAUGGUAGGUCAAAGCUAUUUGGUAUGCAGUUGUAUAAUCAUUGGCAUAUCUCAUUUCCAUGGAGAUUUUUUGACCCCACACCCUCAGCCAUAGUCUAUUGACUUUGAAACUUUUGCUUCGUUUACAUGUAUUAGUUUGAGAUUAGGUCAGUUAAAGAUGAACCACUUAUGUUAAGUCAAUGAUAUUUGAUAUACAAAUGUAUUGGCAUUUGCAAGUUUCAUUUCCAUGGAGAUUAUAUAACCCCUCACUCUCAUUAUGGAUCAUGGACUUAAAAACUUUAACAUAGUUGACAUGUUAAUGUUUGUGUUUAGGUUUGUUUGAUGGGAAAUACUUGUGAGAUUUCAGUGGUUUUUGGUAUACAGUUUUAUUAGUAUUGGCCCAUUUUAAUUUCAUGGAGAUUGUUAAGCCCUGUACCUUCAGUCUUAGUCAUUGACUUUGAAUAUUUGCAUAACUUGCAUAUUAAAGUAUUUCUAUUUUAAUUUCAACAUUUGCAUUAUCAAAAUUACAAUUAGGCGAUACAUAUCUGUGUUAACAGUUUAUUAAAAUUGAGUUGAAGUAUUUACAUUGUCAAGUUAAUGAAACAUUAAGACAAAGUGGGUUUUAUUUUAUAGAUAUCUGGAGAUGUUAUACACUUUAAGGAUUAUUCUGAAUAAUAUUUUAGAUAUUUAUAAUUGCUGAGCAUAUUCAUUUCACGGUUAACAAGAUUUUUAGAGUUUUUUUUUUUCAUUUGGAUGAACUACUUUUGUUAAAAGCAAUAAUGAUAUUUAAGAUUUCUUGUCUGUGAUAUUAGACUUGUUCAAUUUAUUAUGUUACAGUAAUUGAUGUGAAGCAAUUGAAAAAAGGGUCAAAGUAAAUGUUUUCAAAAAUUAAUGAAAAUUAACAACCAAAUUAAUUUCAAUUGAGGUGUAUGAAACAUACUUAAAAGUUAUCUUUAUUUUUUAAAACUUGUAUAUUUUUUCAAUUUGAAAGGACUGAUGGUUGUUAAAUGUCCAGUGGCAUGUCACUACUAUUUCAAAUAGCAUGUAUGAGAUUUAAGAUAUCUACUGCAACACAAAUUAUGUGUUUUAUAUAUAGUAAUUUAAACUAUUAUGAGUAUGGAUGUGUUGCAAUUGAAAUAAAGUCCAAUCCAUUGCUGUUGGAUAUUUGUUUUUAUUAAAACUUAUUUUUAUAAUUAUGAAUUAUUAAAUUUUGAGUUUUAGUUGAA